rnacentral:rRNA from 1 species
UACGGAGGGGGCUAGCGUUGUUCGGAAUUACUGGGCGUAAAGCGCGCGUAGGCGGCUUUGUAAGUUAGAGGUGAAAGCCCAGGGCUCAACCCUGGAAUUGCCUUUAAGACUGCAUCGCUUGAACAUCGGAGAGGUAAGUGGAAUUCCGAGUGUAGAGGUGAAAUUCGUAGAUAUUCGGAAGAACGCCAGUGGCGAAGGCGGCUCACUGGUCCGGUACUGACGCUGAGGUGCGAAAGCGUGGGGAGCAAACAGG